GGGGCUGCAACUCAUUGGCAGAGCAUCUGCUUCGCGAGCAGAAGGUGUUGGGUUCAAUCCCCAGCAUCUUCA